AUCUUCAGUGGCAGGAGAAGGAGUAAUCAGAAGACGGAGAUGAAUUUUAACACUAUUUUGGAGGAGAUUCUUAUUAAAAGAUCACAGCAGAAAAAGAAGACAUCGCCCUUAAACUACAAAGAGAGACUUUUUGUACUUACAAAGUCCAUGCUAACCUACUAUGAGGGUCGAGCAGAGAAGAAAUACAGAAAGGGGUUUAUUGAUGUUUCAAAAAUCAAGUGUGUGGAAAUAGUGAAGAAUGAUGAUGGUGUCAUUCCCUGUCAAAAUAAGUAUCCAUUUCAGGUUGUUCAUGAUGCUAACACACUUUACAUUUUUGCACCUAGUCCACAAAGCAGGGACCUGUGGGUGAAGAAGUUAAAAGAAGAAAUAAAGAGCAACAAUAAUAUUAUGAUUAAAUAUCAUCCUAAAUUCUGGACAGAUGGAAGUUAUCAGUGUUGUAGACAAACUGAAAAAUUAGCACCUGGAUGUGAAAAAUACAAUCUUUUUGAGAGCAGUAUAAGAAAAGCACUACCUCCAGCACCAGAAACAAAGAAGCGAAGGCCUCCCCCACCAAUUCCACUGGAAGAAGAUAAUAGUGAAGAAAUCGUUGUAGCCAUGUAUGAUUUCCAAGCGACAGAAGGACAUGAUCUCAGAUUAGAGAGAGGCCAAGAAUAUCUCAUUUUAGAAAAGAAUGAUGUUCAUUGGUGGAGAGCAAGAGAUAAAUAUGGGAAUGAAGGAUAUAUCCCAAGUAAUUAUGUAACGGGAAAGAAAUCAAACAACUUAGAUCAAUAUGAAUGGUAUUGCAGAAAUAUGAAUAGAAGCAAGGCAGAGCAACUCCUCCGCAGUGAAGAUAAAGAAGGUGGUUUUAUGGUAAGGGAUUCCAGUCAACCAGGCUUGUACACAGUCUCCCUUUAUACCAAGUUUGGAGGAGAAGGUUCAUCAGGUUUCAGGCAUUAUCAUAUAAAGGAAACAACAACAUCUCCAAAGAAGUAUUACCUAGCUGAAAAACAUGCUUUUGGCUCCAUUCCUGAGAUUAUUGAAUAUCAUAAGCACAAUGCAGCAGGACUUGUCACCCGGCUUCGGUACCCAGUUAGUGUGAAAGGGAAGAAUGCACCCACCACUGCAGGAUUCAGCUAUGAGAAGUGGGAGAUUAACCCUUCAGAACUGACCUUUAUGAGGGAAUUGGGAAGUGGACUGUUUGGAGUGGUGAGGCUUGGCAAAUGGCGAGCCCAGUACAAAGUCGCAAUCAAAGCUAUUCGGGAAGGUGCCAUGUGCGAGGAGGACUUUAUAGAAGAAGCUAAAGUGAUGAUGAAACUGACACACCCGAAGUUAGUGCAGCUUUAUGGUGUAUGCACCCAGCAGAAACCAAUAUACAUUGUUACCGAGUUCAUGGAAAGGGGCUGCCUUCUGAAUUUCCUCCGACAGAGACAAGGUCAUUUCAGUAGAGACGUGCUGCUGAGCAUGUGUCAGGAUGUGUGUGAAGGGAUGGAGUAUCUGGAGAGAAACAGCUUCAUCCACAGAGAUCUGGCUGCCAGAAAUUGUCUAGUAAGUGAGGCGGGAGUUGUAAAAGUAUCUGAUUUUGGAAUGGCCAGGUAUGUUCUGGAUGAUCAGUAUACAAGUUCUUCUGGUGCUAAGUUUCCUGUGAAGUGGUGUCCACCUGAAGUGUUUAAUUACAGCCGCUUCAGCAGCAAAUCAGAUGUCUGGUCAUUUGGUGUUUUAAUGUGGGAAGUAUUCACAGAAGGCAGAAUGCCCUUUGAAAAAUAUACCAAUUAUGAAGUGGUAACCAUGGUUACUCGAGGCCACCGACUCUACCAGCCAAAGUUGGCAUCCAACUAUGUAUAUGAAGUGAUGCUGAGAUGUUGGCAGGAGAAACCAGAGGGAAGGCCUUCUUUUGAAGAUCUGCUGCGCACAAUAGAUGAACUAGUUGAAUGUGAAGAAACUUUUGGAAGAUAAGUGAUGUAACCAGUGGCUCCCAGAUUCCAAAGCGCAAGGAAGGAUGGGCACUUUGUGGCUUUUAAUUUAUUGAGCACUUGGACAUGUAGAUGAUUUUACUUGUAAAGUGGAAACACAUAAAGAAUUUGCUUCUAGACAGAAUCUCCCAGAGUGUUUCCACUUAGAAACACUCUGUUGCCUUAGAAAUGGUGAUUAAAAUCACUCAUUUCUAUUCAUUCCUCAGGCACUUGAGUGACAGUUGUUUACCAGGCUCUGUGUAUAGCCCCAGGGUUUGGCCAUUUAGGGGUGCACACAUGGGACCAUGUUAGCUGAUGCCAGUUGAAGGCCAGGGUAUUUGGGUAUUAGAGUCAUGACCCAGCAACCCUUCUUUUUCCCUUUGACUUCUACAGAAAUCUGGGCCUGAGACAUUGUCUACAAUUGGGUUCUAGAUAAAUCAGGAACCCACCUAAAUAAGUACCCAUCUUUUGUUUUGAAAACAUCUCAGUUUUCAAGACUGCUCUUAGUAUUACAUGAACAAUAUUUGUAUGCUGUGUAUAUUAUAAAUAUAUGUAAUAUAUAAAGUUAUAUAUUUAUAAGAAACACGAGUUGUCUUUUAAUUGAAACUUUUAAUCCUGUAGUAUAUGAGCUCACCUUCUUAGGACUAGAGACUGUGCCUUACAGCUGUUAAUUCAUUUCCCCCUGAACAUCAAAUAUACCUGAAGAGAAGAAAGUCUAGACUCUUCUAUGAGUAACACCCCCUCCUCACUCAGGUAAAUGUGUCUGGGGAUGCCUGUCCAACUUAACCACGUGCAUUUGGCCUAUGUAAUCCUGCCCAUGGUGGCCGCAGCUAAUCAGAAUCAGAUGGAAAAUUAAACUAGGACCGGAAGCACCCCGAGUUGUGGAGGAUCCAGGAAGCUACCAAGAGAAACAGCGAGCAUGGUGUUCUGAGCUGCCUCCCGUGCGUUUUUCAGGAGGCCUGGUUGGACUUGGGUUCCUGGAUGGGUGGGACUGUUGUACCUCACAGGAGACCCUGCUGUCAAGACUCUGUGUGUGGAUUUCUCACCCUUAGAAGCUCUACUAAGACAUCAAUGGAGUUAGGGCCUGCCUUUUUUCCUCGUGAGCACCAAGGAAAAGAAAUUAUCUUGGUUACGUGAGUGCCAGCGAAAAGAAACUAUAUCAGUCACCCAGAGACUGUUUAUUGCCCAACACGUUAUUCUUGCUAUGGGUGGGGUAACUAGCUGAGGAAGACACAGUGCCUUCCCUUCAGGAGUUCCGUCUCCUCUGGAGGCUGCGAUGGUCUGCUCUGGAGCAUUGGGUGAACACACAGACUGGCUGUGCUGGGCAGCACCUUCACUCUGACCCUAGAGAACCAUUUCAUUUCAUCCUGGCCAGUCUAGAGUCUGUGCAGCAGGCAGUCCAUCCACUGAAGGCUGUGUUUAUUCUUUUCCUGUGCCCCUUAUAAUGGAAGAAAGUAAACUGCUUAUUCUGAGCCUUA